UGCUCAGCUGGCUGCUGUGUGUCAGCUGCUAUUCAAAGGCCGACAUGGCCAGGGAUUUGGAAGUCAGCCAGCCUGGGGGCCCGGUUGGCUGGGGUGACGUGACUAUUGUGCCUGCUGUGCUCCCAGAGGGGGCCCUGAAGGACCCACCUUCCUCCGCUUCCCACACACCACACACGGUGCAAACACUUGCAUGGACACCAGACAAGCCGAAAGCCAGGACAGAGACUUCUUUGUAGAAGAGAACAACUCUCCUGAUUUGUCCUGGAGGGAUGCUCUGAUUGCCAUGGCUAGAACUUCCAAAACUAUGGUGAAUAAAAGUGUGUUCCAGGCCCAGUAAACAGUCCGAGACAACGCCCAGCACUAAGGCCUGUGAUAAAGGCAGCGAGAAGCAGGCGAGGCCUGCUGGGCCUCCACGCCAAGAGUUGGGGCUCAGCCCUGAGAGCAGAACAGGGUCACUCGAGUCAGGAAAGCUGGGAUUUCACCUUCUCCUCCUGCAAGACCGUCCUUUGAUGCCUAGUCUCCUGCUUCAUUCAGUUAGAUGUCCUGCUACUCAGAAUAAAUGGGAGAGAAUAUCAGUGGAUCUAUACUGUGAAAUAAAAUAUCAAUCUAUAACUCAUCACACUGAGGUA